CUACCCCUUGACCAGCUGGAAUUCAACCCCACCUCCCUCAGCCUCCAAUCCCGCCAUAUUUCUUUUUUUUCCUUUCAAUUUUCUCUCUCUUUCUCCUGAAUCUGCAAAUUCCAAUUCGUCUGCAACUCCAAAUCCCAACCCAUCUCCUCCAUCCCCACCAUUUCAACUUCUUGUUUUCCCUCCUCUGGGAAUUUUGACCUCAUCAUUCCACAUUUUUGACCUUCGCUUCUUUCUCCUCUUUUAGCAACACACUUUGAGUUUUCCCACCCAAUUCAUUCUUUGAACGGUGCUUGCCCUGUCUGGUGCAAUAAAUUCUCUCCUCCCUACCUCGCCAGAAAAUGACCAUCUUCCUCAGCCUCGCUCACCUGGCUCCUUACUUCAUCUGUUUCGUCCUCUUUCUUCUUCUCUUGGAACAGAUCUCGUACCUGAGAAAGAAGCGAUUCGUACCUGGGCCUACUCUGGUUCUUCCCUUCCUUGGCAACGCAAUCUCAUUGGUCCGCAGCCCCACCAAGUUCUGGGACGUCCAAUCGGCUCUCGCCAAGUCAUCCAAUCUGGGAUUCUCCGCCAACUACAUCAUCGGCAAGUUCGUCCUCUUUAUCCGCGACACCGAACUCUCUCAUAAGGUCUUCGCGAACGUUCGACCUGAUGCGUUUCACUUGGUGGGUCACCCGUUCGGCAAGAAGCUCUUCGGCGAACACAAUCUCAUCUACAUGAUGGGCCAAGAACACAAGGACCUCCGCCGUCGGAUCGCACCGAAUUUCACCCCCAAGGCUCUCUCUACAUACACCGCGUUGCAGCAGAUUAUCAUCCUCAAGCACCUCAAGAUAUGGGAGAAGCUCUCGUCGGAGAAUGCACCGAACCCGAUUGCGCUUCGGGUUCUGGCCCGGGAUAUGAAUCUGGAAACUUCUCAGACGGUGUUCGUGGGCCCCUAUUUGGGCCUGGAGGCCCGAGAGAGGUUUAAGCAGGAUUAUUUUCACUUCAAUGUUGGGCUCAUGAAACUGCCUAUCGAUUUUCCCGGGACGGCGUUUCGAAACGCCAGACUCGCCGUUGACCGACUGGCCAAAACCCUAGGGACGUGCGCGGAGCACAGCAAGAAGAGGAUGGAGGGAGGCGAAGAUCCUUUGUGCUUGAUAGAUUACUGGAUGCAGGACACACUGAGGGAGAUUGCCGAGAACAAGGCCGCCGGAAAUCCGCCGCCGCCGUACUCCAGCGACGUCGAGAUAGGCGGGUAUCUCUUCGAUUUUCUCUUCGCGGCACAGGAUGCUUCCACCUCGUCGCUUCUGUGGGCGGUCGCGCUGCUCGAUUCGCACCCAGACGUUUUGUCAAAGGUCAGGGAGGAAGUGGCUGGGGUGUGGUCUCCGGAGAGCGAUACUCUGAUAACUGCGGAGCAGUUGAGGGAGAUGAAGUACACGCAAGCUGUGGCGCGUGAGGUUGUGAGAUACAGGCCGCCGGCGACGCUGGUGCCGCACAUAGCCGCGGAGGCUUUCCCGUUGACGGAGAGUUACACGAUUCCCAAAGGGUGCAUAGUAUUCCCAUCCGCAUUCGAUUCUUCCUUCCAGGGCUUCACCGAACCGGAUCGGUUCGACCCCGACCGGUUUUCGGAGGGGAGGCAAGAGGAUCAAAUAUUCAAAAGGAACUUCCUGGCCUUCGGUGCCGGGGCGCACCAGUGCGUGGGGCAGAGAUACGCUCUCAACCACCUGGUUCUGUUCAUAGCAUUGUUUGCGUCGUUGAUGGAUUUCAAGAGGCACAGAUCGGAUGGCUGCGAUGAAAUCGCUUACGUUCCUACAAUUUGCCCAAAGGACGAUUGCAAGGUUUACCUGAAGAGGCGAUGCACGCGAUAUCCUUUCUUCCCACAGAUUGAAUUGACGAAAUGACGAAAGUACCCUCCUGUUAUAUUCUAAUUUCUACAUUAGCAGAGAUGAAACUGAAGGUGGCAUUGGUAUCAAGAAUUUGAAGAAACAGAAUGAGGAAUGAAGCUCUGCUGGAAUCUACUGACUAAUAAGGAAGCUCUUUGAGUGAAAGUCUUCAAAACUAGAUGCUGUUAUGGUGGUGAUCAUAUGUAUUCUGUGCAUCCAAAAAGAAGCAACAUUCAUCCCUUGGAAUAGUAUCUGUGAUGUUUGGAAUAAAUUCAAAGGGGGAGCUGGGUGGAAAAUUGGCAAUGGUGCAACUACUUCCUUCCUUCUGGUUGGAUGACAGUAAUCACCAGCGACUGGAUAAUGUGUGGAAACUCCAGUGGAGACGGGCAAACCAGUGGCUUUUUAAUCAUGGGAGGGUGCAUACAAUGGAGCUUAGAGCUAGGAGAGGUAUGCAAACCAGUGAUAGCUGCCCAGUUGGAUGCAGCACAACAGAGGAUUCCAAUGCACCAAUGUAAAAAAUCGCAAGCUCUCUGUCCUCAGACGAUUCUAAGGAGACUUUCUUGACGCUACAAGGAGCAAAUUGGGUCAAGUGGAAUUUAAAACAUGAGGCUGGUCAGGAAUACACUAAAAAGGUUUCUUGGCUUUUGCUUUCUAAAUACAAAUGCUGGAUAUUUGAGUUGCUCGCUGUAAUCUCGUGCCUGGGGAGGGUUCUGAGGAUGUGAAUCCAGGUGGCCUCCCUAGCCUAUUUCAAGCUACCUUGGAUAUGGAAUUAUUGAGUAAUCGUUCUUUAUUCAAUCCUCAUAACUUCGAUCUAUCAAGCUGCAUGUUAUUGGUUCUGUCAUGCUUGAUGGAAGCAGUGGCUACGGUGAAAUUUUGGGUGACAGGCACAACAAUUGGAUAGUUGGAUUUAGCUCCAAGCUAAGUAAUAUCAGUGCCGCCUGUUGUGUCUGAACUGAUUGGCGUCAUUCAGGGAUGGACUCUUAGCAGGGAGCGUGGCUACCAUGAAGUUGUUAUUUUCUCUGCUUGGCUGCUAUUAGUUUAGGGCCUGUUUGGACCCUUUAGAAUCAAUUCUAGGUUUAAAAUUAUGGUUUUGAAAAAUUUUAUCCAAACACCUCAAUUUUCCCAAACUCCAUUUGGCUUCCAAAACUCAUUUGAACAAGCUGAAAUUUGUUCCAUUUUGAAAAAAUCAAUAUCAUAAUCAAUUCUUGAAAUUUUAUCCAAACACCAUCACGUUUUAAUAAUUAAUUUUUUUCUUAAUCAAUUUUUUUCAAUUAAAAUCCAAACACACCCUUAGUCCUUAGAGGUUGUGAUUGUAAUUAUCCUUUUAGGGACAUUGUUGAGGAAGCAAGAGCUUUCUUCCUUAGGGAUGGUGAGAUUAUUUUUAGACAUGUUUACAAUUCUGAAGGAUCCGCCUCAACGGUGUAAUAAUUUUCUUUCUUUGGAUUUUAUUGGUCUUUCCUAGUGGCUCUUCCCCUUU